CCUCUCUGUAAAAAAUCAAUAAAAAAUAUAUUUUUAAAAAAAUUGAUGGCAUCAUAUUAUAAGGACACAGGAAUCAACUUGAAAGGGUUCCCCCACUGGCCAGAUCUGGGACAAUUUCUAGCAUCAAAAUCAUGAUAGUAGAAGAAAGUAAUCCUAUAUAAUAAAAUCCUAAUAUGCUAAGUG